UCGACUGAGGUGAGGCAACAU
rnacentral:rRNA from 1 species